GACGAACGCUGGCGGCGUGCUUAACACAUGCAAGUCGAACGGAAAGGCCCUGCUUUUGUGGGGUGCUCGAGUGGCGAACGGGUGAGUAACACGUGAGUAACCUGCCCUUGACUUUGGGAUAACUUCAGGAAACUGGGGCUAAUACCGGAUAGGAGCUCCUGCUGCAUGGUGGGGGUUGGAAAGUUUCGGCGGUUGGGGAUGGACUCGCGGCUUAUCAGCUUGUUGGUGGGGUAGUGGCUUACCAAGGCUUUGACGGGUAGCCGGCCUGAGAGGGUGACCGGCGACAUUGGGACUGAGGUACGGCCCAGAUGCCUACGGGAGGCAGCAGUGGGGAAUAUUGCACAAUGGGCGGAAGGCUGAUGCAGCAACGCCGCGUGCGGGAUGACGGUCUUCGUGUUGUAAAACGCUUUCGCAUGUGACGAAGCGUGAGUGACGGUAAUGGGUAAAGAAGCCCCGGCUAAAUACGUG
rnacentral:rRNA from 1 species